UACAGAGGUCUCAAGCGUUGUUCGGAUUCAUUGGGCGUAAAGGGCGCGUAGGCGGCGGGGUAAGUCAGGUGUGAAAUCUCGGGGCUCAACCCCGAAACUGCACUUGAUACUGCCUCGCCUGAGUACUGGAGAGGAGACUGGAAUUUACGGUGUAGCAGUGAAAUGCGUAGAUAUCGUAAGGAAGACCAGUGGCGAAGGCAGUUCUCUGGGCAGUACCUGACGCUGAGGAGCGAAAGUGUGGGGAGCGAACAGG
rnacentral:rRNA from 1 species